CUUCUGGAACAAGUCAGACCAGGGAGAUCUCAGGGCCAGGGGGAGCCAGAGGGAAGGAGCUCCUUGGGGGCCAGCACCUGGUCACAGCGCCCUCUCUCCGCCCUGCCCCGAGGCUCCAGGGCCGCAAGCCUUGGGAGGGAAGGUCGUGAAAACCAGCAGAGCCCACACCGGGAGAGGAGGGAGGGGGACUUGGGCUGGGGUUGGGCGGCUCCGAGGUCAGGGCGAGCUUGGCCAGGGAGAGUGGAGAGCCGCCUGGCUGCGCAUGGGGCGCGUGCUGUGAGUUCCAGUGAGCGUGUGUGCUCCACGCUCCGUCUUUCAGGCCGGCCCAGGACACGAAGCCGGAAGAGAGCUGGAGAGACCGGCCGUGAGCAGAGAGUGCAGCUCGCACAGCCCGGGAACAGGCUAGUGCUUGGCGCUCCCCGCCAGAGCCUGCCCAGAGCUGGGUGUGAGGCUGGCUUCACGUCAACGAGCAGAGGCGGCCAGGCGGGGCGGAGUGCGCGUGCGCGGCUAGCGGGGCGUGGGAGCGGGCGCGGGCGCGGGGCGGCGAGCACGCGCACGCGCGUACCCCGGGCAGCCUGGGCGGCCGUUCCUGCCUAUCACGGCUGCGGCGCUGCUGGUCGUUCUCUUGAAGGCAGCGGAGGCGGCGGCUGCUCCAGACACCUGCGGCGGCGACCCCCCGGCGGCGCGGAGAUGUGGCCCUUGGCGGCGGCGCUGUUGCUGGGCUCCUGCUGCUGCGGUUCAGCUCAACUCCUGCUUAGUAAAGUCAAAUCUGUAGAGUUCACGUCAUGCAAUGACACUGUGGUCAUCCCUUGCAAAGUCCUUAAUGUGGAAGCCCAAAGCACCGAUGAAAUGUUUGUGAAGUGGAAGUUGAACAAAUCGUAUAUUUUCAUCUAUGAUGGAAAUAAAAAUAGCACUACUAGAGAACAAAACUUUACCAGUGCAAAAAUCUCGGUCUCAGACUUGCUCAAAGGCAUUGCCUCUUUGACAAUGGAUACCCAUGAGGCUGUGGUGGGAAACUACACCUGUGAAGUGACUGAGCUUUCCAGAGAAGGCAAAACAGUUAUAGAGCUGAAAAACCGCCCAGCCUUCAACACUGACCAAGGAUCAGACUGUUCUUACCCCACUACCACUACCACUACCACUACCACUACCACUACCCCUCCAGGGAACGAGAAGGAGAAAGGAGGUUGCACAUUAGUUUCGUGGUUUUCUACAAAUGAAAAGAUCCUCAUUGUUAUUUUCCCAAUUUUGGCUAUACUCCUGUUCUGGGGAAAGUUUGGUAUAUUAACACUCAAAUACAAGUCCAGCCAUACGAAUAAGAGAAUCAUUCUGCUGCUGGUUGCCGGGCUGGCGCUCACACUCAUCGUGGUUGUUGGCGCCAUCCUUUUCAUCCCGGGAGAGAAGCCCGUGAAGAACGCUUCUGGUCUUGGCCUCAUUGUAAUCUCCACAGGAAUAUUAAUACUGCUUCAGUACAAUGUGUUUAUGACAGCUUUUGGAAUGACCUCUUUCACCAUUGCCAUAUUGAUCACUCAAGUGCUGGGCUAUGUCCUUGCUGUGGUCGGGAUGUGUCUCUGCAUCAUGGCUUGUGAACCAGUGCACGGCCCCCUUUUGAUUUCAGGUUUGGGAAUCAUAGCUCUAGCAGAAUUACUUGGACUAGUUUAUAUGAAGUUUGUCGAGUGGAGAGAGACACCUUCGGUCAGUUGAAAGGCAAGAAGAAAAGCUUCCAACCAGCGGACUAUACAACCUCCUAGGAAAGCUGUAGAGGAACCCCUUAACGCGUUUAAAGAGUCGAAAGGGAUGAUGAAUGACGAAUAACUGAAGGGAAGUGAUGGACUGUAACUUGAAAGUCAGAAGUGGAAGAAUUCAGUUGUCUGAGCACCAUGGCCUUCACAACUCACAGCUGGAAGGAACACACAACAGUGACUGACUUUCAUCUCUGAAAAAAGUCAUUGAACCAUAAAUGAAUAUUACAGUUAAGUUUAUAUUAAAGCAGCUGUAAUUUACGUAAUAAAAAAUAUAUGAUGUGCUGUGUAACCAAUCGAAAUCCAUUUUUCUAUUGUUUCUACUCAACUAGGGGCAAAAGUUUCAGGGGCAACUUCCAAGAAUGAUGCUUGUUAGAUCCUUGAGUCUCUGAACACUGAGUUUAAAUCGAUUCCCAGAGAGACUCGCCAAGCACUAACCUUCGGGUUAGUUACCUAGAGAUACCUACGAGAAACAGGGGUAUCCAGCAAGCCUUAGUAAACUCAGGUUCCCAGCAGCUUUGCCACUCAUGCUGCUAGCUGAAUAACAAGACUGCCACUUCUGGGUCUUAGUGACAGAGACUGAAGUACAAAAAUGAAUGUGGUUGGGCAAACCCCGUGUGGCCCCUCUGUGUGCUAUGAUGUUGAUGGCCCUGUUGUCUUCAUUCUUGGGCGUUGCCAUCGUUCACACACACCCCCUUUGACAUACAGCGCACCCAGGUUUUGAAUACUUUUUUUUUUACAGAUGUGGUUUUCCUUUUUGCACACAACCCUUUGCACCCUGUCCCGUCCUGCUACUUUGAUUUGUGUUUCAAGAUACAGUACCUUUCCUCCCCUUUAAACAUGAUCCUGUGACACAAUUUUGUCAGUUGCAGAAAGGAGCCAGACUUAUUCUCAAAGCACUGUGCUCAAACUCUUCAAAAAAAAAAUAAAAUAGCUAUGGUUGUAACAUAUGUAUUCCAGACCUCUGGUUUAAAGGCAAAAAAAAAAAAAAAUCUAGUGUUUCUUCCCAUGUUUUCUGAUCGGAGGCAUGACAAAGCAAGACUGAAAUCUGAACUAUGCGUCUCCUGCAUGGCGACAUAUGUCUCCGUCAGCCCUAGCAAGGCCCGGGGAGGGGGUUUUAUGCCUGUUGUCUCUUUGUUGCAUGCUAAACACACAUCACCUUCCUCCUUGUAUCCUGCCUCCUGCCUCCUGCCUCCUGCCUCCUGCCUCCUGCCGCCUCCUCCUCCUCCUCCUCCUCCUCUUCCCCUAAGUUUGAAAAGUAAAACAAAACUACCACACUCCCUACCCAGUUAGAAGAAAACCAACGUCCUGACAGUUGUGACCGCAUGGAGUACUUUUAGAUUAUUAGCACUUGUUUUUUACCUCGUUUGUGGGCGUGUUUGUAUGUGCACAUGUAUAAGUAGGCACAGGCAUCUUCUGUACGGACAAAAGUGAGGCAUCUAUACAAGAGCGGAUGCUAACUUUGUGCUUUUAGUGAAUACAUUAAAAAAAAAAACAAAACAAAGGUCCUUAUUGGGUGGCAUUAUAUUUGAUGCAAAUAUUCGAGCUCUUUAAAACUAGGUAAUGUGCCAAGCUUUUAUGACUGCUCACCAGUGCCCUCUGAAAAACCACCAGGGAUUUUUCCUGUCUGUGUAAUAAAGGCAUUCGUAUCUGUAUUUGCAUUAUUACUAACAGUUAUUUCUCCUUAGUCCACUGAAUGUUUCCAUGUGCCUCUCGUAUGCCAAAUUUUUUGUCAUCUUUCAUGUGGGGACCAAAUGGUUUGUCUGUGGCAAACCUAAACUUAAGACCUGCUGAGGCCUCUCAGAAAGCUGACCACGGUACCAGGAUAGUGCUUCUCAAAGAAAAGUAGGUUUCCUCCCCGAUUUCGUAGCUGUCGCAAAUACUAGCGUAUUGUGGAGGAGCUGAACGCCUUUAUACAAACCUGACAGCUCCUGAUGCUUUUAGUUCCUGGAAAUAUUUACACUCUGCUCAUUGUUGGUUGCUUAAACUCAGUUUUGAUGGAGAGAGCAAAAAAAGCAGGUGGACUUGGAACAGUUUCAGUUUUUCUCGUCCUCUAUUAGGAAAGUCAGGUGUGAAAAUCUUUAUAGUCAAUAAUUUUUUCUUUUCUUUUUUUUUUUUUCGAACUAAAGCUGUACCUUUUAAUACGUGGUCAACGCCCCUCUGCUCGGGGUUCAGUCUUGGGUCUUAACCAGCUGUCAUGUUCUCUUUGCUGCCUGCCACUUGAGACACCGAGUGCCCUAGACAGCCCCCAAUCAGCGGUAGCCAGGGAAACACAAGACGAACUCAACUCUUGCUCCUAAUACUCAGCUUCUCUGUACAAGGGGUGGCAGUGGCAAGAGUCCUUCUGCCUGGGCAUUAUUGGGCCAGUUCACCCUCUUUAAAUCAAACCCGCAGUGGCUCCUGGUUCUCGUGCCAUCCGAUUUAAAUCUCUAACAGUACGGUGGGCACCACGCACCUGUUUUGUCCCACGAUGUGCUUUUUCUCUCCCCGAUUCUGAUUUCUGCUGUCAUAUCCUGUCUUCGGUUUCUCUUUAUUGUCUGCUCUCCACUGUAUACAGUAGUAGAGAGCGGUGCCACUUAUCACUUUCUGCAACAGUUUUCCCAGGCCUUCAUGGCUGGAUCCCGUUUUCCUUCCUUUUCAGAGUGUUGUGCCCACCCCUCCUCCCUUAUGGCUGUCUUUUAUGGUCAUCCCCAUCUGUCUGGGGGCCUCAUCUCUCACUUACCCUUCCUGGUGCUUCAUGGAUCUCUGCUUAGCUUGGUGGGGUUUUCUCUUUGUUUGUUGGGGGGGUUUUUCUGGUCUUACUCUUCUCACUGGACUUUAAGAUUCCUUCCACAGCAAAGACGCUGCCUCCCUUUCUGCCCUCCGUGUUCUGAGUAUUUAGAUAACUCAGUGCCGAAGUUUGAUGGCAAAAGUUGCCUGCACUUAAAUUUCUCUUUUUAAUCGGUGAGCUAGAGUUUCUUUUUUUCUUUUUUUUUUUCUUUCUCUUCUGUCAGAUUUCACAUGCUUUGCAAAUUACAAAAGGUGACAGUUCACCUGAAAACUGCAAGUCUGGUCUGUUUAAAUCGUUGAGAAUAUCUGAUUAAAAGUCACGGGGCUGUAUCAUAAUAGACUUUCUUUCGGGAUGUUGUAGUCAAUAGAGUGACCAAAUUGUACUUGGCUUUACAAAGCGGUGCAUUCACUCUGCUGUAAUCGUCGCGUUAGUAAGAGUUCAGCUGUAUAUCAUCGCCUAGGUUUAUCUUGUCUUACAAUGGGUAUUCAAAUAUGGCCACCAGAGGAUACAUGUGAAUCUAAGCGCCUGCAUUUGCCUGUUGUUGAGAACUGGAGGGGGGGGGGAAAUGUCUGGCAACCCUUUGCCUUUUUACUGUAAUUAAUUGACAGUUUAUUUAGAGACGAGAGUUUUCAAAACUCUCUUAACUGCCACAACCCACUGGCGGUCUUGUUUCGCCAUCUCCAGUGGCUAGCAGAGAUAAUCCAAGGUAACUGUACAGAGAUGAGCAGUAGCCAGGAAAUCGCCCUGCCUUGAACUUUGGCUGCCCUUCAUUACGAAUGUUUAGUGCUGAAUUUUUCAUAAAUCUAGUGUUUGAGGGGAAAGAAAAGGCCUUUUUACCAAGCAUCUCUGUAAGACAGCAUCGGUGGGAUUGGUGGGCUCUUCAGUGUUUUUCACUGUCGGGAUCUUGUGUGGAUGGAAGAGAGAAACGCUUUUUAUUUUUAUUAAACAGAGCAUUAUUUACAGAAAGCCAUUGUUGAGAAUUAGUUCCCACAUCAUAUAAAUAUCCAUUAGCCAUUCUAAAUUGUAAGAGAACUCCAGUGUUGCUAUGCGCAAGGAACUCUCCUGGGGGCCUUUUUGCAUAGCAAUUAAAGGUAUGCUUUUUGUCUGUAUCCUUUUUUUUGCAGUGAUUUAAAGACCAAAGUUGUUUUACAGCUGUGUUACCCUUAAAGGUUUUUUUUUUAUGUAUUAAAUCAAUUUAUCACUGUUUGAAGCUUUGAAUACCUGCAAUCUUUGCCAAGAUACUUUUUUAUUUAAAAUAAUAACUGUGUAAAUAUUACCCUGUAAUAUUAUAUAUACUUAAUAAAACAUUUUAAGCUA